UGUAUCUGAAGCCUGACGAGGAUGAGAACCUCCGGGGGCAAGAGGUUCGACCCGAGCGAAGCGAGAAAACGUUGCGUCAGCAACGGCCCGCAGGGCGAGCCACG
rnacentral:sRNA from 2 species